GACGAACGCUGACGGCGUGCUUUAGACAUGCAAGUCGAACGAGAAAGCCCUUCGGGGUUAGGAAAGUGGCUAACGGGUGAGUAACACGUGGGCAAUCUGCCCUUCGUUGGGGGACAACCGGGGGAAACCCCGGCUAAUACCCCGUACGCUUGUCGGGUCGCAUGGCCUAACAAGGAGAGGUAGCUUCGGCCAGCCGGCGAAGGAGGAGCCCGCGGGACAUUAGCUAGUUUGGGAGGUAAAGGCCCACCAAGGCGACGAUGUCUAGCUGGUCUGAGAGGAUGAUCAGCCACGCGGGGACUGAGACACGGCCCAGGCUCCUACGGGAGGCAGCAGUCGGGAAUCUUGCAAAGGGGGCGAAAGCCUGAUGCAGCAACGCCGUGUGAGCGACGAAGGGCCUAGGGUCGUAAAGCUCUGUUGUUAGGGACGAAGGGCGAAGGGUUAAUAGCCCUUAGCCUGACGGUACCUACAGAAGAAGCGACGGCUAAAUAUGUGCCAGCAGCCGCAGUAACAC
rnacentral:rRNA from 1 species